UACGGAGGUGGCAAGCGUUGUUCGGAUUUAUUGGGUGUAAAGGGCAUGUAGGUGUCCUGGUAAGUUCUGAUUGAAAUCCUUCGGCUCAACCGAAGAACGUGUCAGAAUACUGCCAGGAUUGAGUACGGAAGAGGAGAACGGAAUUCCCGGUGUAAGGGUGAAAUCUGUAGAUAUCGGGAGGAACACCAGUGGCGAAGGCGGUUCUCUGGUCCGUAACUGACACUGAAAUGCGAAAGCUAGGGGAGUAAACAGGAUUAGAUACCCCAGUA
rnacentral:rRNA from 1 species